rnacentral:rRNA from 1 species
CCCUUAGACGUUCUGGGCCGCACGCGCGCUACACUGACCAGUGCAACAAGCAUCCGUCCUUGGCCGACAGGCCCGGGCAAUCUUUGAACGCUGGUCGUGAUGGGGAUAGACUUUUGCAAUUUUUGGUCUUCAACGAGGAAUUCCUAGUAAACGCAAGUCAUCAACUUGCAUUGAUUACGUCCCUGCCCUUUGUACACACCGCCCGUCGCACCUACCGAUUGAAUGGUCCGGUGAAGACUCGGGAUCGUGGCUUAGUUGCUUAAUUGUGAUUAGACCGUGAGAACCUGUCUAAACCUUAUCAUUUAGAGGAAGGUGAAGUCGUAACA